GCGUACUGGGGGUGGUGGGGGUAGUGAAGACGGAGGGGGGUGGCGGUGUCCGGAAUUAUUGGGCGUAAAGAGCGUGUAGGCGGUUUGUAGCGUCUGCUGUGAAAGUCCGGUGCUCAACCCCGGACUUGCAGGUGGUACGGGCAGACUAGAGUAUGGUAGGGGAGACUGGAAUUCCUGGUGUAGCGGUGAAAUGCGCAGAUAUCAGGAGGAACACCGAUGGCGAAGGCAGGUCUCUGGGCCACUACUGACGCUGAGAAGCGAAAGCAUGGGGAGCGAACAGGAUUAGAUACCCGUGUAGUC
rnacentral:rRNA from 1 species